GGUGAGAUGGCCGAGUGGUUAUGGCGCUGCGUUCAGGUCUACCUGAAUUCAAAUUCGCAGUGGAGCAAUCCGCGUGGGUUCGAGUCCCACUCUCAUCA